AUUUCCCUUCAUCUCGCCAGGUAGAACUUGCUGCACUCCUCCAUGAUAUAGGUGAUUAUAAGUACUUGAGAGAUCCUUCAGAGGACAAACUUGUUGAGCACUUUCUUAUUGACUCGGGCAUAGAGGAGAGCAAGAAAACAAAGAUUAUAAAGAUCAUCAAUGGAAUGGGGUUUAAAGAUGAGCUGGCUG